rnacentral:rRNA from 1 species
CUACGGGGCGCUGCAGUGAGGAAUAUUGGACAAUGGGCGAAAGCCUGAUCCAGCCAUGCCGCGUGCAGGAUGACAGCCCUACGGGUCGUAAACUGCUUUUAUACAGGAAUAAACCCCCUUACGUGUAAGGGGCUGAAUGUACUGUAAGAAUAAGGAUCGGCUAACUCCGUGCCAGCAGCCGCGGUAAUACGGAGGAUCCAAGCGUUAUCCGGAUUCAUUGGGUUUAAAGGGUCCGCAGGCGGAUUAUUAAGUCAGUGGUGAAAUGCUGUCGCUUAACGAUAGCACUGCCAUUGAUACUGGUAAUCUUGAGUAUAGUUGAGGUGGGCGGAAUAAGUCAUGUAGCGGUGAAAUGCAUAGAUAUGACUUAGAACACCGAUUGCGAAGGCAGCUCACUAAGCUAUUACUGACGCUCAGGGACGAAAGCGUGGGGAGCGAACAGGAUUAGAUACCCGGGUAGUC